UAACCUCCUAUGCCACUGCUGCUCCUCUAAGAUCAAGUGCAGUAUCUGUUCUUAUCAGUUUAAUAUCUGAUACGUCCUCUAUUUGAGGACUAUAUAUUAAAUGGAUUGGGGGGGGGGGAAUAAAAAAACUAUGGCUACCAAUCUUGAUCGUCUUUGAUCUGGGACUGCAAAUGCCUUAGCAGACCAGGUGCU